rnacentral:pre_miRNA from 1 species
CUUGAGGGGAAUGUUGUCUGGCUCGAGGCCAUCUUCUCCUUCACUGUUGUUGCGUGUGAAGAGAUCUCGGACCAGGCUUCAUUCCCCUCAAU